AUACGUCAGGCGCCCCUGCGGAAGUGGACGUCGCUCUCAUUGGCUGCGGGACGUCUGUCUGUGGGAGCGGGCCUUUUGGAGGAGACCGGAAGUGGAGGAACUGAGAGGUGACCAGAAAUGGAGAGAAAAGUAAGCAGAAUCUGUCUUGUUUCCGAACCUGACAUAAUUCAUUUUCUACAAGUGGCUUGGGAGAAAACACUAGGAUCUGGUUUUGUUAUUACACUUACUGAUGGUCAGUCAGCAUGGACCGGGACAGUUUCUGAGUCAGAGAUUUCCCGAGAAGCUGAUGACAUGGCAUUGGAAAAAGAGAAAUAUGUUGAUGAACUGAGAAAAGCAUUGAUAUCAGGAGGAGGACCAGCUGAUGCAUACAAAUUUGAUUUUUCCAGAGAGUCUUGUAAUUUCUCCUUUGAGAAAAACCUGAAAGAUGUUUCAUUCAGACUUGGUUCCUUCAAUCUAGAGAAAGUUGCAAGUCCAGCUUCAGUCAUUAGAAAACUUAUUUGUGAUUGCCUGGACACCAUCACAGAAAACCAAGCGAAAAAUGAGCACCUGCAGAAGGAAAAUGAAAGGCUUCUGCGAGAUUGGAAUGAUGUUCAAGGACGAUUUGAAAAAUGUGUGAGUGCUAAGGAAGCUGUGGAGACUGAUCUUUAUAAACGAUUUAUCCUGGUGCUGAAUGAGAAGAAAGCGAAGAUUAGAAGCUUGCAUAAAUUGUUAAGUGAAGUUCAAGAACCAGAAAAGAACAUUGAGCAUGAAAGGGAAACCACAACAUGUUCUGAAAUGACUGCUGACAGAGAUGCAAUCUAUGAUGAAAGCACUGAUGAGGAAAGUGAAAACCUGCCUGAUCCCUCUGUGUUAGCUCAAGCUACUUUAAGAGGAGAUGAUUCCAUUAUUUCAAGUCCUGAUGUCAUGGAUAUUGCACCAAGUAGAAAGAGGAGGCAGCGGAUGCAAAAGAAUCUUGGGACAGAACCUAAAGUGGCUUCUCAGGUUCAUGGGCCUCAAGAAAAGGAGAACUUCUCCAGCUCUGCACCUCAAAAACAAAGUGGAGGAAGAGAAGAUCAUAGGCUUGGUCCUCCACUGCCUGAGACGUCAAAAAAGGAGCACAGCUCAGCUGAAAACAUGUCUUUAGAAACUCUGAGAAACAGUAGUUCAGAAGACCUCUUUGAUGAGAUUUAACUGUCUCAAAAAGGUGAGGGGAAAUCCAGGAGUCUGCUGUUGUUCCUAGUGUAUGUACUGACACAGACUAAAGAGAAGAGAGCUGUCACCGAUGCCUGGAAAGCUAGGACCCACGGCUGCUUCUCAGCUGGAAACUGCUUCUGGCAGUAUGUAUGUGGCAAGUCUCAUGGAGCAAGACGUUCUUCGGAAAUGGAUUCCAAGAUAGUUUCUUUUCAGAAGGAGCCAUGUCCCGACUAUUUAUGAUACCCCUCCCCUCUCCCUUUCACCGAUCUUCGUGCGUACGUUUUGAGAUGGGCACGGGUUUGUGAGAUUUGCAUGCGGGUUUAAACUUUUGACGGGAAUAAUACCACGGCCGGAUGCAGUUGCCAGGUGAGUAAAUCAGUCUCUCUCUGUGUAGCUUUAUCAAGAGAAACAGAAAGAAUGAAUGGGGUUCUACCUGGGUGUGCUUGCCAGCAGCUUCUGAGCUGCUCAGGUCUUGGAACGAUUUCUUGUCCCAGCACAACGUGUAUUAGAAGCUUCUUGACUAGGACAGAAUCGACUUGCACACCAGAUUCUUGUGUCCUUACUCUGUUGUCUGAUCAACCGCUGCUCAGCUCCCUUGUCCAGGUGUUUUCCUCACCACCUUGCCUGGCCCUCUGGCUCCCCGAGUGAUUGCAUCCUGCCCGUGUUCUGGUCUCUACCACUUGCCUGGUCUUGUGAUCUGUGAGGCAGUCUGACUCCAGUGUGGGUCCUGGAGCGAGGGGUUGCUGCACCGCCUACUGUUAACCUCUGGCAUGAUGUGUCCUAUUUCUAACCAAACCGCUGGCUUAGGAUAUCUAGCCUUUGCCUUUGUCAGAAGUCCCUAGCCAGCUUCUGAACUCGCCUCCUCUCCCAAACACUCAGCCUCGCCUCACUGUUGUGAGGCCUUGCGCCUGCUUUGUCAUGUGACACAUUCUGCUCUGGGCAACAGACAGACAUCAUCACCGGUCCCUGUUUAAUGCACUCUGCAUUGCUCUUGCCUAUUCAAUUAUUUGUUUCUCCAAUCAUACUAUAAGGGCUGAUUCAAGACAGGUGAUACUUAUGCAUCCCCAGAACCUAGGACUGUGCCUAGAAUUUAAGCACAUUUAUUGGCAAAAGCUUUUAACCUGGACCAGGAUGACUAAAGUGUUAUAGAAUCUAAUUCUAGCUCUCUCACUGUCUAAUACUAAAAUCUUAGGCAAGUGAUUUGAUAUUUUUGGUUCUCAGUGUCUUCAUUUGCAAAACAAGGAUGAUCGGAUGAUCAUUGGAAUGGUUUCUAAGAUUGCUUUCAGCUUCAAAGUUCUUCAACUCUGUUUAAUGCUCAGAACCUUGAUUAGGAGAUCUUCCAAAAUGACUCACUUUUCACCCUAAAAGGGAUAUCUGGAUUAUUCAAAACUGAUUUUCAGAGAAAAGCAAUUUUUAACCCAACUGAUCCAUGUUUUCCUUUCUCAUGCCCAUUACAAUGCUUAGCAGAUUGGGCCUUCAAUUGUAGGAUGAAUGUAAGAGAUGAAUCGCCACCUAGUGGACACGUCCCUAGGCAGUGGCCUCCUCUCCAGAACAAGAGGGAGCUUUGGGUCCAACCCAUAGUUUUCUCCUUCCUCCUCCUGACACACAUCUCAAACUUGUCAUUGCUUCCACCUCUAAAAAAAAAAUCACAGAAAUAUUUAUUUUGGCAAGAGAAGACAUAUUUAUUUUGACCACGUUUGAUUUCAUUUUUACCUAUUUGUGUUUCACAUUCACAGUGUGAUAGGCAUUUUAAGGAAAAAAAAAAGAUAUGCUCCAGCAAACUUAGACUGGGUCUUUUUAGUCUCUUAUCAAUCUGGUUUGAAAACAGUCCUUGAGCAUUCAGAGACGCCUUGGCUAGACAGACAGAAAAGGGAUAGUAGAGUUCACAUGUCUCCCAAGCAGAACUGUCUAGAGAGCCCAGCCUUUCAUCCAGUUCCUCACCAAAUGUUCAGAGUUUUACAGUUUUCCUUAUUUAAAGGAAAACCAUUUAGAGGCUAAUCUAAGGCUUUGGAUUAGUAGUUACUUCAAUGUGAAGUGGAAUCUUCGCCUGGAUAAUGUUUUCAUUGAGCUUAAGGAAACCUAAGUGACCUCUACUUAAAAUGAACCAAAGGAUAUGAUUGUACUAGGUUUUCUUUCUCCACCUUAGAAAAAGUGUCCAUAAGGUCUAUCAGUGGAGGUUCAAAGAGGCUUAGGAGAAGGUAUUCUUGGUAAUUCAUGAACUACCAGGAGGAUUGCUACAAGUUUUUAGCCCAGCUUCUGAUGCCUCUACGAUACUCGAUUAUUUUAGCGCAAGAGCUUAUUCAUUUAAUCAGCAUUAAUGAUUCCUUCCAGCCAUCCCCGAUGGGCCAGCUAUUCACGCUGUAAUUGCGGCACUGAGGCUGUGUAUUCCUCCAGCCUUCUCUACAAGCAUUAAUUUUUCCUUGUUCAUUAGUAUUUCUCUGCUACUAAGUGCCUCUAGUCAGCUCAUGGCAUUCUGAUAUUUUAAUUUCUGUUUCCUACUCCACCAACCCAGUGCAAGAUUUCUGCACUCCUCUACAGACUUUUGUUUAAUUUCGCCUUCUCUGACAUCUCUUACUAUGUCUCAAAAAACUUUUGAAAUGCUCUGGACCUAAAAAUAACUCUUCUGUUGAUCCUAAUAUCUAUUCAAACAAGUUCUCUCUGACCCUCCCUCCUGCCUUCUUUCUGCCCUUCCUUCCAAGAAAGUCAUUCAGAACAGUUCCAACUAAGGUAUUAAUACACCCUCCCUGAGUUCUAUAGACAUAUCUCCCAGUGGCAAUUCUGUAAAGCCUCAGUCCUGACUAAAUCACUCAAAGGAUUCUGUCAAGAUUUCUAAGCCAUAUUCUUGUAUCGCUGCCCUUGAACAGACUUUAUAGGCUUACUCUUCUUACCUGUACCUUCCUGAAGCCGGUUUUACAUCAAUCCAAAGAGCCAAAGAGGAAGGACUCAUUGAGGGGGAAAAAAUGAAGAAAUUAUAUGCCUUGAGCUAACCUUGGUCAUGCUUCCCCCCACCGCUGAAGGAAAAUAUACUGUCAAACAAAAGCUGCCCUUGUUUCUCCCAUACAUUCAUACCCUUAGCAAAAUCUCUACAGAGACUGCAGACAAAGUAAUUUAAGAUGAGUGUGCUCAUCAAUAAGCAUCAAUAAGCAUCUAUCAGCGUACAUAGACUGUCUUCAGUGUUGAGUAGAAGACAAAUAAAUAUAAGGCACAGUUCUUGGAUUCUCAGAGCUUACAUUGUUUGGCAAAACUUUCAUUUAAAUAUUUACAGCAAACAGAUAAGCAGGCAUGCCAUAAAUCACAUCUAAUUUUUGUAUAGAAAUAAUGGCAGAAUUAAAGCUUGUGUUGUUGACUGAGGACUUGAUACUAAACCCUUUAUAGAAUUAAUCAUGAGCAUCCCUUUGAAUUAAGUAUAAAUAGUACUUCUGUAUGGUAUAAAUGUUUCUGAAAGGUGUAUCAAGAGCUCAAACAGUGAAACAUAGUCUAGUCGGUCAAUAUGGUGGACUAACGACAACAACAAAAAUAUGUCGGUAUCUUAACCCUUGGAACCUGUGAAUGUGACCUUAUUUAGAAAAAAGGGUCUUUGCACCUGUAAUUAAGUUAAGGAUUUUAAAUUGAGAUUAUCCUGGUUUACCCUGAUAAUCCUAUGACAAGUAUCCUUAUAAGAGAAGAGGAGACACAGACACAGAGGGAAAGGUCAUAUAAAGACAGAAGCAGGUAUUUUAACUUUGCAGCCACAAACCAAGGGAUCCCCUCAAACCACAAGAAAUUGGGAAAGGCAAGGCAUGUUCUCCCCUAAGGCUUUCAGAGGGAAAGUGGCCCUGCCAACACCUUGACUUCUAGGUUUAGACUUCUGAUCUAUAACUGUGAGAAAAUAAAUUUCUGUUGUUUUAAACCACUAAGUUUUACUAAUUUGUUAUGGCAGCCACGGGAUACUAAUACACAUGGUAAUAAAUCACAUAAAACCUCUUUUUGAUGGUCUCUUUUUACUUACCGUAAUUUCCUGCCUUUCCUUUACUGAAAUGAAUCAGAAAUUAAAGGUAUAGCCGUAUAGGAUUAAUGAAAUUCAGUAGAGUUUCUACAAGGAGUGGGAUAGCAGCUUUGAAGAGAUGUCUGGGAUGAAAAUAAGAUUUAGAGAAGCUUAUCCAUGUGUAUCUGCUUUCUGCUCACCUUUUCAUGUAUUCAGAGUUCUGGGUAACACAUAAAGGAAUUAAGGAAUAAGCUUUGGUUCAUCUGUUAUCUCCAAACCAAAGUCUGUCUGGCUUCUUGAGGCAAACCCAAUUAAAAACUUGCAUGUUUUUCUAUGUAACGCAGUUGAAGAAACAAAAUCAUAAAUCUUUAGAAUAUCCAAACCAACCCUUGCGGCAUCUUGAUCAAUUACAGUGUUAUUUCAUCCUUUGGGAAUCCUUAAAGUUCUGCUUGGAUUUUAUAACCAAAUCAUUGUUGAAAUUUGAUCCUGAAUAUGCAUAAUUAAGAGUGUUUGUAUCUUAGACAUAAGACUGACUCUUUCGCAGAUAGUAAUUGUUUGUAAUUGUUAGUCAUCUUAGAGGAAAACUAAGAUAUAACUUUGAAUUAAUGAGAUUGAUUCCUAAACAAUGCCAGGUACGUAGCAGGCACUCCAUAAAUAUUUGUUCAAUGAAUGAAUGUAUUCAGCUAAAAAACAGUUCAACUUUGGGUAGCCCUCUGAUUAUUAAUAGUUAAAAAAAAACCAUUCAAGAUGACUAUAUCUAUAGGAAGCCAGAGACAGCCAUAAAAUGAGGCCCAUCAGAUUUCUUAAUGCAGGAGAAAUAGCUGCAAAUCCUUUGAGAGGCUGCAAGAGCGAUGCUACCUGGAGUUGCAUAAGAGAGAGCGUUGGGACUGGGGCACACGGGAGGGGACACACUCUGUCUUAAGGGAGCAGCCACUACUCAGCUGGAGCAAAUUGUCACUAUGCAGAAAUUUGAGCUUAAUUUGCCAUUCAUCUCAUAUUUUCAAGAGAAGCCAGAAAUAUAGAUGAGAACACUUGCCAUUUUAAAAGUUGGCAAUGAAUUCACUCUUUUCAAAAACGCUCUGUGGUGGCCAAACAAAACACAUCUGUUAGCCAGAUAGGCCUAGAGUCCUCCAGUCUGGGUCUCUACUUCUUAGUAUCUUUUCCUUUCUUUACUUCCCUUGGACUUCUCUCUCUCUUUCUUUCUUUUCUUUCUUUCUUUUCUUUCUUUCUUUCUUUCUUUCUUUCUUUCUUUCUUUCUUUCUUUCUCUCUCUUUCUCUCUUUCUUUCUUUCUUUCUCUCCUUUCAGCCUAUUGAAUCACUAACUGUCUAGAAACUAGUGUCUGGGAUAAAAGUUGUGCAGGGUAGAACAACUGGAGAACUGGAUGUGUUCUGAAUGUCAGAACAAGGCUUAGUUUGAUCAAGUCAGAAAACAGACCAGGAAACAAGUUAAUGGGCUUUGGAUGUCAUAAAUGCUGGGUUUAGUCUGUAAUUUAACAAAUAUCUAAUCAUUGAAACAUUACUUCUUUGGUUCUUACUUGCACCAUCCACAAAAUGGGAAUAAUUGCACCAAUAUCCACUGCACCAUUAUUGUGAAAUCAAAUGAGAUAAUAGUUUUAAAUGAACCUUAUCGAUAUAAAGGACCAUACAGUUAUGAAUCGUACAAUAAUUAUUAAUAACAAGAGGCUUAUUGGUGUGCUGCAUGCUUGUUAUCAUACGAUAGUUACAAUUUACAGAGCACCAGAAACGUGCAUAGCCAGAAGUCAAAUAGUCAUAAAUCAAACAUGCUGUAGUGAGUUCUGUAAGAUAAUGUAUAAAUUAUACGGUAAAGACUAAAAGUGCUAUAACAUUUCAGAGAAGAUUGAUGACAUCUAGAGUGAAAGAGUCAUAGGAGUAGUGAGACUUACACGAGACUUUAAAGGCUGCUAAAGAUAGUUAUAGUGUUACUGGUUUGUUUCAGGCAUCAAAACAGAUUUUAUUCUGGAAUUACAUUUUUAUGUACGUGGCCUCUAGGAAGCACCAAACAGAUUUAGUUGUUGGUUUCCCAAGCUUCAUUCAUUCAUUCAUUCAUUUACCUGAUGCUGAUUGACAUCUCUCUGUGCUGGGUACUUUGAUAGGUGCUAGAGAUAUGCUCUUUGCCCUCAGGGAGCUCACCAUCAAGAUGUUAAGCUCGGGAAAUGCUAGGUUAGUUGAGAUAAACCUUCUUGGGUGGGGCUAUUGUAAGUAGGUGUUGCGUGUAUAUAUGUGCAUUUAGCUGAUGGAUUUUCAGAUCUUUUAAUGUCCUUGAGUCUGGAGAUGCAGAGAGAAUAGUGUACAGAGAGUUCCUUUUACAGAUUAGCAAUUGGGGACCUGUUGUUUAAAUUUAGAGAUGCUGCACUUGAAACGUUGUCUAGAGGUGGAAGAAAAAAUAUUAUGCAUGCCAUUUGAAAAUGUAAAUAUUGACUGUUUAACAAAAAUCUCUCUUAUGUUUUCUGACUUCUCAGAUACCAUGUAAAAUAACUGUAGCCCAUUUGUGCAUUACAGAGCUAUUUGAGGGUAACCAUGGGCUCAUCUAGUCUCACUGGUUAAUAGGACUUGUAUAUAUAUGUGUGAUUAACUGUGAUUAACAAAAUACAGAACCAUUUAAAGUUGUUCGUUCAUAUUGUUAUUACAUACUUUAUCAGUGUCUACCAUUUAUAUAAUGUCUGUCGUGGAGUUGUGUUCAUUUUUUUUUUAAUUUUAGAAUUAAGAAUGAAAAUUUAGAAUUAAGGAUUUUAGAAUUAAGAAUGUCAUAUUCUCUGACAUACAUUACCAAGUCUUAAAGAAACAUUACAACACCCACAUAGAGUUAAAUUUUGUAUAUAACUAUGUUGCUCUGCUGUUUUCUCAUUAAACUGGAACCUCAAUUUAGGAGUUUCAAAGUUAAGAAAACAAUUCUAUUUAUAGUAGCAUUAAAAAGAAUAAAAUACUUAGAAAUUAAUUCAGCCAUGGAGGUGUAGAACUUGUAUGAUGAAAAUUACAAAACAUUACUGAAAUAAAUUAAAGAAGACAUAGAAGACUUAAUAUUGUUACGAUGGUCAUGCUACCCAAAGUGACCUAUAGAUUUAAUGCAAUUUCUCUCAAAAUCUCAAUGACAUUUUUUGCAGAAAUAGAAAAAUCUCAAGGGACCUAGAAUAGCCAAAAAUCCUGAAAGAGAAGAACAAAUUUGAGGACUCAUACUUCCUGAUUUCAAGGCUUGCCACAAAGAUACAGGAAUCAAAACAGAGUGGUACUGACAUAAGACAGACAUUUCACUCUGUGACGUCCAUGGAAUAGUCAAAACCAUAGAGAGAGAAGGCAAAAUGGUGGUUGCCAGGGGCUGGGGGGACAUGAGGGGCAUGAGAAGUUAGUGUUUAAUGGGCAUUGAAUUUCAAUUUUGCGACAUGAAAACAUUUCUAGAGAUGGGUGUUGCUGAUGGUUGCACAACAGUCUCAAGUAUACUAAAUAUCACUGAACUCGGCACUUAAAAAUGGUUAUUCAAAACAGUAUGCUUUAUGUUAUGUGAUUUUGUCACAAUCCAAAAGUU